AUUGAACGCUGGCGGCAUGCUUUACACAUGCAAGUCGAACGGCAGCGCGGGCUUCGGCCUGGCGGCGAGUGGCGAACGGGUGAGUAAUACAUCGGAACGUGCCCAGUAGUGGGGGAUAGCUCGGCGAAAGCCGGAUUAAUACCGCAUACGACCUGAGGGUGAAAGCGGGGAAUCUUCGGACCUCGCGCUAUUGGAGCGGCCGAUGGCAGAUUAGCUAGUUGGUGGGGUAAAGGCCUACCAAGGCGACGAUCUGUAGCUGGUCUGAGAGGACGACCAGCCACACUGGGACUGAGACACGGCCCAGACUCCUACGGGAGGCAGCAGUGGGGAAUUUUGGACAAUGGGCGAAAUCCUGAUCCAGCAAUGCCGCGUGUGUGAUGAAGGCCUUCGGGUUGUAAAGCACUUUUGGCGGGAACGAAAAGGACUGUGCCAAUACCACGGUUCGAUGACGGUACCCGCAGAAUAAGCACCGGCUAACUACGUG
rnacentral:rRNA from 1 species